GAUGAACGCUGGCGGCGCGCCUAACACAUGCAAGUCGAACGAUUAAAGCACCUUCGGGUGUGUAUAAAGUGGCGAACGGCUGAGUAACACGUGGGCAACCUGCCCCUCUCAUUGGGAUAGCCACGGGAAACCAUGGAUAAUACCGAAUACUUCGGGACUUCCGCAUGGAAGACUCGAGAAAGCUCCGGCGGAGAGGGAUGGGCCCGCGGCCUGUUAGCUUGUUGGUGGGGUAAUGGCCUACCAAGGCAAUGAUGGGUAGCUGGGUUGAGAGACCGACCAGCCAGAUUGGGACUGAGACACGGCCCAGACUCCUACGGGAGGCAGCAGUGGGGAAUCUUGCACAAUGGGCGAAAGCCUGAUGCAGCGACGCCGCGUGCGGGAUGAAGGCCUUCGGGUUGUAAACCGCUUUCAGCAGGGACGAGGCGAAAGUGACGGUACCUGCAGAAGAAGCCCCGGCUAACUACGUG
rnacentral:rRNA from 1 species